GUCUCCCCGCUUGGGCACGGGGCUGUGCGCGACGCAGUGGACGGGUGCGGGGCUCAGCGAGGGACUCCCGGGUCCAUAGAGAUCUGGGGAGGGUGGGGGGAGCAAGGACGAGUGCCUGCCGGGACCCCCCUGGCUCCUCGCUCCCAAGGAGUCGAGGGGAACGUCUCUACCGCGCUGCAAAGCCAGCAGACAUUGAAGUCCCUGGAAGAAGAACCAUGUCUUAUUCAUCUUUGUAUGCCUGGCCUCUCAUAGACACA
rnacentral:lncRNA from 10 species